AAUAUGGCAAGGCCAUGAUGAUCCACUUGGUAAAGUAAAUCCGCUUGGCAUCUUUCUUGGCCUUCAGACAACAAUUCUGAUGGCUAAAGAUCCAAACGGGACAGGAAAAAAAAAAAAAAAGUAUUGUAUUGGAUGUAUGUUUGCUGCACUGCGCUCUUGUGUUCCAUGCUGGUGUGUGUACAUGUGGGUGUGUCUGCGGGUGAGGAUGGAGGACAGCUACCUGCAGGCCUGAUGGGUGUGGCCCUGUCAGCUGCUGGUCACGCCUAAGUUCCCACACACCUGCUUCUGAUCAGGCUCGUCGGGGGAGCUAUUUAACAGAGCGAUGGAGCUUCCUCUGGUGCAGGAUCGUUGGGUUAGACUCCACGAAGGAGCAGGGAAGACAAGAGCAGCGAGCACGGGGUGCGGGGACACACAGGAGCGGAAGAGCACGGAGCACAAACUUGUGGGUGAAGACACGACACGGAAGUCAAGAGAUGGAGGCCCAGCAGCAGGCUCUGGCAGCAGUGGAGGCUGUGGUUCAGGGACUUUCCCCAGAGCAGCAACUGGAGCUCAGAAACCAGCUGCACCAAGUGCUAUGCUGCGUGGCAUCUUUACGUUCAGAGGUAGCUGAGCUCAAGGAAGGCCUACAGGUCAUUGCCCGGCAGAUCAUUCAGGAUGUCAAGCCUUUGACUGUGGAUAAUGUACCCGUGGAUCCACAACCUCGCUCCUCAGACCCAAGGGAAUAGCUGUCUUAUAGCGGGAUUAACAGCGCAGUUGGAAUCCUUUCACUUUAAUAAAUGUGUCUGUGACUCAAAUACUGGUGAUAUUUUAUGACUUCAUAACAGUGACAGAGUGGAACAUCUGAACAAGUACAGAUAAACAGGACUGGGCCAUAAAAUUCAUAUUUGAUCACUGGUUAUAUACUUUAUCAGCCAUGUAAUUAAGGAAAGUCACUGAUAACAGUAAUUUGGAAUAAACGCAUGGGAUGAUCCAUGAUUUGGAGCACAUUAUAGCAAUAGUAGUGGGUUGAAUGACUUGAAAAAACAAGGAAAAAAAAAACUGCAUAUGACACUUGUCUUUGUAGUGCUGAGUACUUUAUUACUCUUAUGAUCUACAGUUGUUUGCAAUUGUGAAGUUUGAUUUAGCUUACAGAUUUGUCUUCUAGGAUACAGGCUCCAAGCGGAGCUGGAAGUUGAACAACUUUAACGUUAAAAUCACUGGCUAAUGUUUUUCUUAUGACGGGUUACAGGCUUGGAGUACAGCUGCUCCGAGGGACAAGCCCUGGGAAUCUUCAAGAGAGACACUGCAACUUUCUUCUGUAUGUCUAAUUGUGUGAAGCUGACACAUGGCAAGGACCAUGUGGCAAUACAGGGUUUUCUGGGGAGGUGUCAUUGUUUAAAUUACAGGUGGAAUGAGGUGAAGCGAUGGAAGGAACAAGAGUACUGGUGGACUGUCCUGUUUGGACACAAAGCAUACCUGUCACUCCCAGAAGGUUGGGGAGGAUUGUGUGCCUUGGUAAAACUGAGUGAUCACAUGGAAAUCAACAGAUAUGCACUCCUGAGGCAUACAAGUCUUACCAAGGUCCUCGGAACGGCCUUGGCAGAGGAAUAGAAGACGAUAUGUACGAUGGUGUUGCAAAACAGACUGACGCUGGACCUGAUAACAGCAUCCCAAGGUGGGGUGUAUAAGCUAAUUGGUGAGACGUGUUGCACAUUUAUCCCCGAUGGAUAUUCCACAGGCCGCGACAUCUAUAAGGCCCUGCAGAAUCUAACAGCACUCCAGAAGUAUGUGACCAAUCACACGCCAGGAGCCUCAACACAGGAUUGGCUCACAUGGCUGACUUCUGGACCCUGGUGGCAUAUGCUACUGAAGAUCUUGACCCCAGUAUUUGUUGUUUUACUCUCUAUGUUUGUUGCGGUGACCUGUAUUCUCCCUUGCAUUAAGAGCAUGAUACAAAGGAUGGUGACUAAUACCUUUAUCUACUACGCAUUAGCCCAGGAAGACCCAGAGAAGGGCAUGAAAGAUUGUGUUCAAAUGAAGUAAGUUGAUAGUUGAUAACACAAGCUUUUAAAAUGUCAAACAGGAGGAAAUAAUGUUAGGUUUAAUGUAUGUGUUGUAGGUUGCCAUUUAAGAAGCUAGAAUGCUUCUGUUUGCGCUCUAUGUAACCUACGCAUAUGAGUACGUGCACGACCCCAAUAAGGGGAACAAACAGCCUUGAGAAGAACAGAUUCUACCGACAAUAUCCAGGGAGAGCUGCACUCCCAUCAUAUAACCACACACAUUGUAUAACCAUGCUUGCACAGCACAAUCACACUUUGUAACCAGUUAUAGUAAUUUCUCAUAGGUAAUACAACAACAAGCUUUGUGAAUAUUCAUGUGUGUAACCAAUAAAAACAACCUGCAGGGGGAAAGGAAGUUGAAGUGGGUUGGAGACAACUGCUUCCCUCUCGCAAGUGAAAACUUGAGCUCUGCUGACCUCGUUCCUGAGUGAGUUUCUGUUUAUCCAGCAGUAUCAGGGGUAAAACUCUGACAAGUAGUGUGUCACACAAACAGCAAAUAUUGUCAAAAAAAGUAAGAAAACAUGGGGGUGCUUUGAAAAGUCCACAAUACCUGAAAUUUUUAAUAGUCUGCAGCUGAAAGUAGCCGUUUAAACAGUUUAAAUCUUAAUGUUAGUGUUGGAGCUAUUUGUUCUUUAUUUUUAUUAUUUUGAAAUUUGUUAAAGUUUGUUGUUGGUUUCCCAAACUGGAUAAAUAAACGCGACUUUCAAGUUUGGACAGUCGACUUCUUUUGCCUGCGUACAAGAUCUUAUCUCAGUGCAGCAGUGGCUUGUGGAUUUUUAAUUGUUGGACGUUUGGUUGGUCAAACUAACGGAAUCACCACUACAUAAAGUAAAAACUCUUGCCCGUGGACCAGAAGGAAUAAUCCUUCAUUAAUGGAUAUGUUGGAUAUAUAGAUUUCAUGGAUCACCAUCGAACAAAAGUUAUUAGAUCGUCUUUGGAGUAAUCCAGACGGACUUGCUGCUUGAGGCUUGGAUCAACACGUCACUCAUUCAUCAACACUGAGCUGCCCAAGCAUAUGCUGCUCCUAGAUGUAAAGACCAUAUGGAACUCUCUGUAUUUGAUGAAGGAGAGAUUCUGCGAGCAGUUUCCUGCCAUCCAGGCUGCAGCCAUCGAUCCACGGAUAAGAAAGUCCAUGAAAAAGGAAAGACUGGCUAAAAUGGGCAAUGAUGACUUAAGAAAAGCAGAGGAGUUUGUGGUGCUCAUGCGGAAGCACUACACCUCCACACCAGCAGCGACAAAAGUCCGACCUGUGGUGAGAUUCUGCUCAUCCUGCAAAAGCUACUGCAACACUACACCGUGCAAGAAGAUGACUCUGUCUUCACAAGGAGCAUAAAGGAGAACAUUUGGAAAGAUCUUUCCAAAUGAUACCAGGAUGCUGAUAUCCAGAGAUUCCUGGAGGAGGCCACCAUCUUGGACCCCCGAUUUAAAUCCAAAGUGAAUAAGGAUGAAGUCUGGGACAGGAUCAGGGAAGCAGCAAAGACAGAGGCAGGACCAGAUGAGGUAUUUCAAUAUGACAGUGUCUUACUUUGUAGCCUAUUUCCAUUGUGAGAGUGAGACCUUUAGUUUGAUUCGUUUGUGUAUUUGUCACUUUCUACUCAAGCACCAGGAGCAAGGAGACACACAGGGAAAGUUGUUCAAAGAUGAAG